rnacentral:rRNA from 1 species
UUUUAUGGAGAGUUUGAUCCUGGCUCAGGAUGAACGCUGGCGGCGUGCCUAAUACAUGCAAGUCGAGCGAACGGACGAGAAGCUUGCUUCUCUGAUGUUAGCGGCGGACGGGUGAGUAACACGUGGAUAACCUACCUAUAAGACUGGGAUAACUUCGGGAAACCGGAGCUAAUACCGGAUAAUAUUUUGAACCGCAUGGUUCAAAAGUGAAAGACGGUCUUGCUGUCACUUAUAGAUGGAUCCGCGCUGCAUUAGCUAGUUGGUAA